AUGGUCGGAAUCUUCUCCAGGUUCUCUUCCGGCGCCGGCCACCGCCGCGCCAAGAGUGCCGUAGAGGUUGUGGAGACAUUGGCGCCCAACAUGGAGACCGGGGAGUCUGAGCCGGCAGCCGAUCCUGGAGAUAGCCCACACGGCAUUGAGGUCGGCAUCGAGUUCAAGCCGGUGGAGCACCCUGUGGAGCCUGUCAACCUUGACCAACCAGUGAAAUGCCCGCUUCCUGAGCCAUCUAUACUGCAUGAUGGGAGGAUAUGGCAAGAGAGGAUGUCUACAGCGGGCGGGAGGCCGAGGACAGACCUUCCGGUCGUGAAGGAAGGAUCACAGCUCGAGCCCGACAGCAGCACCACAAGGUCGCGGUCUGCGCUCCGGAGGCGCGCCAUACUGCCCUCCGUGAGCGCCCCUGAGCAUAACAUCCUGGCGCUGCUUGACGAGUGCGACGUGCCUGAGACCCAGCGCCCUGCUGAAUGA
rnacentral:rRNA from 1 species